GAUGAACGCUGGCGGCGUGCUUAACACAUGCGAGUCGAACGGAAAGGCUCCUGCUUGCCGGGGUACUCGAGUGGCGAACGGGUGAGUAACACGUGGGUGAUCUGCCCUGCACUUCGGGAUAAGCCUGGGAAACUGGGUCUAAUACCGGAUAGGACCACAUUUUGGAUGGUGUGGUGGAAAGUUUUUCGGUGUGGGAUGAGCUCGCGGCCCAUCAGCUUGUUGGUGGGGUAAUGGCCUACCAAGGCGUCGACGGGUAGCCGGCCUGAGAGGGUGUACGGCCACAUUGGGACUGAGAUACGGCCCAGACUCCUACGGGAGGCAGCAGUGGGGAAUAUUGCACAAUGGGCGCAAGCCUGAUGCAGCGACGCCGCGUGGGGGAUGACGGCCUUCGGGUUGUAAACUCCUUUCGCUAGGGACGAAGCGUUUUUGUGACGGUUCCUGGAGAAGAAGCACCGGCUAACUACGUG
rnacentral:rRNA from 1 species